rnacentral:rRNA from 1 species
CGACCUGAGCUCAGGCAAGGCUACCCGCUGAACUUAAGCAUAUCAAUAAGCGGAGGAAAAGAAACUAACAAGGAUGCGCUUAGUAACGGCGAGCGAACCGCGCAAAGCCCAACUUGAAAAUCUCCCUUGGAGAAUUGUAGUCUAUAGAAGUACCCUCUGUAACGGGCGCAGCUCAAGUCUCCUGG